rnacentral:lncRNA from 1 species
CACCCCCUCUUCAGUCAUCCACAUCCAAGAUGGCAUUAAAAUCCCUAAUAAAGAGCCAAAAGUGAUCCAUGUGUUGCCCGAUAACUAUGAACUCCUCCCAAAGGUCUUUAUGCUUAUAGGGAUUCGGACUUCCAUAGAUGAUGGAGAGUGAGAAGUCCCCCCGACUAUCUUCCUGCUAAUCCUGGAAUGGAUAAACUAACGGUAAUUAUAUUC